GAUGAACGCUGGCGGCGUGCCUAAUACAUGCAAGUCGAGCGAACGGACGAGAAGCUUGCUUCUCUGAUGUUAGCGGCGGACGGGUGAGUAACACGUGGAUAACCUACCUAUAAGACUGGGAUAACUUCGGGAAACCGGAGCUAAUACCGGAUAAUAUUUUGAACCGCAUGGUUCAAAAGUGAAAGACGGUCUUGCUGUCACUUAUAGAUGGAUCCGCGCUGCAUUAGCUAGUUGGUAAGGUAACGGCUUACCAAGGCAACGAUGCAUAGCCGACCUGAGAGGGUGAUCGGCUACACUGGAACUGAGACACGGUCCAGACUCCUACGGGAGGCAGCAGUAGGGAAUCUUCCGCAAUGGGCGAAAGCCUGACGGAGCAACGCCGCGUGAGUGAUGAAGGUCUUCGGAUCGUAAGACUCUGUUAUUAGGGAAGAACAUAUGUGUAAGUAACUGUGCACAUCUUGACGGUACCUAAUCAGAAAGCCACGGCUAACUACGUG
rnacentral:rRNA from 1 species